rnacentral:rRNA from 1 species
UACGGAGGGUGCAAGCAUUAAUCGGAUUUAUUGGGCGUAAAGGGCGCGUAGGCGGAAAUGUAAGUCAGAUGUGAAAUCCCGGGGCUCACCCCCGGAACAGCAUUUGAAACUGCAUUCCUUGAGGGUAGGCGGAGAAAAUGGAAUUCCACAAGGAGCGGUGCAAUGCGUAGAUAUGUGGAAGAACACCAGUGGCGAAGGCGGGUUUCUAGCUUAUUCCUGACGCUGAGGCGCGAAAGCAAGGGGAUCAAACAGG